rnacentral:rRNA from 1 species
UGAGGAAUAUUGGUCAAUGGACGAGAGUCUGAACCAGCCAAGUAGCGUGCAGGAUGACGGCCCUAUGGGUUGUAAACUGCUUUUAUAAGGGAAUAAAGUGAGUCUCGUGAGACUUUUUGCAUGUACCUUAUGAAUAAGGACCGGCUAAUUCCGUGCCAGCAGCCGCGGUAAUACGGAAGGUCCGGGCGUUAUCCGGAUUUAUUGGGUUUAAAGGGAGCGUAGGCCGGAGAUUAAGCGUGUUGUGAAAUGUAGACGCUCAACGUCUGCACUGCAGCGCGAACUGGUUUCCUGGAGUACGCACAAAGUGGGCGGAAUUCGUGGUGUAGCGGUGAAAUGCUUAGAUAUCACGAAGAACUCAGAUUGCGAAGGCAGCUCACUGGAGCGCAACUGACGCUGAAGCUCGAAAGUGCGGGUAUCGAACA